CUACUUUUCGAACAGUAAGGCUCAUUCCUCUCCACAAUAUAUUCUUCGGGUGCCGAAGCCAAGACGUUUCGUCUCUGUACCCGUGUGCGCUCAACCGACAAACGCGGCAGGCAAGGCUUCGACAUAUCCCAGUCAAACGUGCCCCGUGCAAUUCUACUCCGUGCUGCCCAAGUUGCAUGCCACUGACCCCAUCGCCAGCUGGUGCCAAAAUGCCGGGCAUUGCGGAAAUGUUUUUCCUGAGUGGAGCGGUUAGCAUGGCCUGUUACGUGAUGAUCAUGGGCCUUGUCGUCUGCACUAAAGAGUAAUAGGUUGACCUUGUUACACGGCGACUGGCGGUAUCACUGCCUUUAGCACACACAGUAGUUGUCCGUCUCUCGGCGCGGGACAGAGAGACGCAGGCUUUUUGUGAGCGCAGUCGUUUCUUUGACUUCUUUUCAGCAUUAAACAACAACUCAUCGAACUCCACGUUCUACCGUGCUGCGUCCAAAAAGUGCCUCCCAGCGUAGCUCCCAAUCUUGCAAGCCGAGUUUCCGGCCAUUCCAAGCCAGAGGGCCUUGUAUGACCUUCCUGAAACGCGUGUACUGUUGCCAAAAUGGGAUUUUUCAACAAACUAAUUCUCACUUUGUGCCUUGUCGGAAUCCUUUCGACUGGCUAUAUGAUGGUUACUUUCGCGCUUCUGGUGUAACCGUGACAUUCAUCGAAGCGGCAAAACGGUCGACAAAGGGUCUGCGUAUGGCCUGUUAGUGAACAGAGUGCCGCUUCUCUUCGCAUUUAGCAUGAUGAAGAGCACCUAAUGUUGGUAGCAUCUUCCCCGGGAUGCGCGUGUCGUUGUCUCCACAGGGAGGGGGCAGCGAGAAGGCCUGCCUACACCCGUGCGUAAGAUACUGCGGGAAGAUGGAAGUGUUGUAUGGGGGAGGGGUGUCCGAGCUACGACAGUAGCCUUCACCCCGCUGACGUGCCAAACCUACAAGUGUAGUUUGCAUGUGUGCCUUCAUGAGAAGACGCCUUCGUGAGUGUCAUGACCGACAACUGCUGAAAACUGAUUCCCAG
rnacentral:lncRNA from 1 species